AUACUGCAGGGGUACUAUCUCCAAUGAUUCUUAAUUAUGUAUCACUAAAUAUUUUUGCAGUUGCUCUGACGUAUGAAUGACAUCUUCUGUUGCAUCUUGCACAGCUUUAAGAGAAGUGAACUAACAAUUUCUCCCCAGAAAAUCCUAUAAAACUAAAACGAACUAUUCCCCUAUAGUCUAGUCUUAGCAAUGCUUAGAGUAGAUCUAUUGAAAUCAAUAGUACAGUACACAUAAUGAAUGCUGAUCCUCUUCCUGCCCUUCUUAUUUUUAUUUAUGUCUUUCCAGCAUUUCCCCCUGUCUUUGUUUUGCUGACCAGCCCAAAGGCCUGAUAUUUAAAUGUAGACAAACAUGGUUUCCACACCCUUGCCUGACCUAGAGAUAAAUAGGUUGAUCAUUGCACGAUGUGUUCUGGCAAAGCAGUCCAUCCUGUCUGAACCCUGUUGACUCAGAAGUCAGUCACACUGCUCUAAAUAGGACUUCUUCCUUAACAUAUGUGUUUAGAUUGUAGCAUGAUUGCAUAAGACAUUUUGGUGGUGGUUGUUCUUGUGGAAAACAGCCUAUUUUAGUCAAUUCCUCACUUUAUUGAAACUAUUUAAAAAAACAAAGCUUGGUUCUUCAUGCAACUGUUGAUGACAGGAAAGCAACUAAUUUCACCUUAAUGUUGGAAGAAAACCUGAUCAACUAGAUUACAACAGGAAAUGGGACAUCCUACAUUAGUCUCUCUUUACAGUUUUUGUUGUUGAUGUUGUUCAAUUACUGCUAUCCUGGGUCAGAGAUGAAAUGCCCAGCAAGAUUAACGUGUUCUGCAACAGGUCUGGAUCUCCAGAUUAGUCCAAAGUGCUUCUGACUGUGACAUUCUGUUCCAGAACCAACUGGGCAAAUACAACUUACUCCAAAACUGGUACAAAUAUGUUCAAAUCAUUUGAAUCUGGCUCAUUACUCAGCCUUCAGAAGAAGUGUGGCACAGGACUAAUUUUUUCUGUCUCAACAGUUCAGUACGAUUAAAGUUGGCAGAACCUAAUCAAAGUUACAGCUUUUGAUACCCUUUCUGCAGUUAUUUAACUG